UGAUGUUAGCGGCGGACGGGUGAGUAACACGUGGGUAACCUGCCUGUAAGACUGGGAUAACUCCGGGAAACCGGGGCUAAUACCGGAUGGUUGUUUGAACCGCAUGGUUCAAACAUAAAAGGUGGCUUCGGCUACCACUUACAGAUGGACCCGCGGCGCAUUAGCUAGUUGGUGAGGUAACGGCUCACCAAGGCAACGAUGCGUAGCCGACCUGAGAGGGUGAUCGGCCACACUGGGACUGAGACACGGCCCAGACUCCUACGGGAGGCAGCAGUAGGGAAUCUUCCGCAAUGGACGAAAGUCUGACGGAGCAACGCCGCGUGAGUGAUGAAGGUUUUCGGAUCGUAAAGCUCUGUUGUUAGGGAAGAACAAGUACCGUUCGAAUAGGGCGGUACCUUGACGGUACCUAACCAGAAAGCCACGGCUAACUACGUGCCAGCAGCCGCGGUAAUACGUAGGUGGCAAGCGUUGUCCGGAAUUAUUGGGCGUAAAGGGCUCGCAGGCGGUUUCUUAAGUCUGAUGUGAAAGCCCCCGGCUCAACCGGGGAGGGUCAUUGGAAACUGGGGAACUUGAGUGCAGAAGAGGAGAGUGGAAUUCCACGUGUAGCGGUGAAAUGCGUAGAGAUGUGGAGGAACACCAGUG
rnacentral:rRNA from 1 species